GAUGAACGCUGGCGGCGUGCCUAAUACAUGCAAGUCGAGCGAACAGACGAGGAGCUUGCUCCUCUGACGUUAGCGGCGGACGGGUGAGUAACACGUGGAUAACCUACCUAUAAGACUGGGAUAACUUCGGGAAACCGGAGCUAAUACCGGAUAAUAUAUUGAACCGCAUGGUUCAAUAGUGAAAGACGGUUUUGCUGUCACUUAUAGAUGGAUCCGCGCCGCAUUAGCUAGUUGGUAAGGUAACGGCUUACCAAGGCAACGAUGCGUAGCCGACCUGAGAGGGUGAUCGGCCACACUGGAACUGAGACACGGUCCAGACUCCUACGGGAGGCAGCAGUAGGGAAUCUUCCGCAAUGGGCGAAAGCUUGACGGAGCAACGCCGCGGGAGAGAUGAAGGUCUUCGGAUCGUAAAACUCUGUUAUUAGGGAAGAACAAAUGUGUAAGUAACUAUGCACGUCUUGACGGUACCUAAUCAGAAAGCCACGGCUAACUACGUG
rnacentral:rRNA from 1 species